rnacentral:rRNA from 1 species
AGCAGGCGCGAAACCUUUACACUGCACGCCAGUGCGAUAAGGGGACUCCAAGUGCGAGGGCAUAUCGUCCUCGCUAUCCUGUACUGUAGGGUAGUACAGUAUCAAGAGCUGGGCAAGACCGGUGCCAGCCGCCGCGGUAAUACCGGCAGCUCGAGUGAUGGCCAAUCUUAUUGGGCCUAAAGCGUCCGUAGCUGGCCGCGCAAGUCCGUCGGGAAAUCCAUCAGCCCAACUGAUGGGCGUCCGGCGGAAACUGCACGGCUUGGGACCGGAAGGCUCGAGAGGUACGUCCGGGGUAGGAGUGAAAUCCCGUAAUCCCGAACGGACCACCGAUGGCGAAAGCAUCUCGAGAAAACGGAUCCGACAGUGAGGGACGAAAGCUAGGGUCUCGAACCGGAUUAGAUACCCGGGUAGUCCUAGCCGUAAACGAUGUUCGCUAGGUGUGGCACUGGCUACGAGCCAGUGCUGCGCCGUAGGGAAGCCGAGAAGCGA